ensembl:snRNA U1 U1 spliceosomal RNA
ACACUUACCUGGCAGGGGAGAUACCAUGAUCACGAAGGUGGUUUUCCCAGGGCGAGGCCUAUCCAUUGCACUCUGGUUGUGCUGACCCCUGAGAUUUCCCCAAACGUGAGAAACUCGACUGCAUAAUUUGUGGUAGUUGGGGACUGCGUUUGCACUUUGCCCUG